rfam:Oryza sativa Japonica Group DNA, chromosome 4, cultivar: Nipponbare, complete sequence.
AAAAAGACAAACUCUGGGUUUCCGUGUCCAACGUUUGACUGUCCGUAUUAUAUGAAAUUUUUUUAUAAUUAGUAUUUUCAUCGUUGUUAGAUGAUAAAACAUGAUUAAUACUUUAUGCGUGACUUGUCUUUUAAAUUUUUUUUUAUAAUUUUUUAAAAUAAGACGGACAGUCAAACGUAGGACAUGGAAAUUUAGGGUUUGUCUUUUU